CCCAGCUGUAGGCAACUGCCUAGGUUACCUUGUACCUAGGCAAGUGUUACACUGCUGGAAGAAGAGUAGCCAACACCUGGAGGGCGUUCUGGGCUUGGGUAAUGCCAGAUUUGUGUUAACUAU
rnacentral:snoRNA from 1 species